rnacentral:rRNA from 1 species
AUGCAGGAUAAAAACAUGCCGCUGAACCUCAUACCUGCCGCUGGAAUGAAGUUCACCACAUACGACAAGGCAUGGGACUUUUACAACAAUUAUACAAGAUGUGCAGGGUUUGGCAUACGCCAGAGGGCACAACACAAGACAAAUACCUACAUUGUCUGCUCAAGAGAAGGGACGCACAAGCAGACUGUGUCAGAUUAUCAAAGGAAACGUCAGAAGACAUAAAAAAGGAUUGACUGCAAGGCAAAGAUUAGAGUCAAAAAGAGGAAGGACGACAAAUUUGUGAUAGAAAUGGUUGCACUCAACCACAAUCACAAGAUGCUGGAAAGCCCCGGGAUGCUUUUGCACAAGCGAUCGCACAAAAAAGACGAUCCUUUGAUAGACCAUGUGAAAGACAUGCAACUAGACAACCACACACAUGCUCAGAUGAUGUCAACGCUGUCGCGUAUGUCCGGUGGUCUGCAUUACAUGGGACAUACUAGCCGCGACUGGGUAAACAAGAAACAAAAGUUUGCCAGAGAAGAGUCCCAAGAUGAUGUCAAGAAACUUCUGGAUUUCUUCGAGAAGAUGCAGAAGAUAAACCCAGAGUUCUUCUAUGAUUAUGACGCCAACGCAAGUUGCAAAGGAUCGUAUGAAGAUUUUGGAAAUUGCGUUACAUUUGACACGACGUAUAAAACUAACAAAUUCCACAUGCCGCUGGGAGUCUUCGUGGGAGUGAACCAUCAUCUACAGAGCACCAUAUUUGCUGUUGCCCUCGUGCGAGAUGAGACAAUACCAUCGUCCGAGUGGUGUUCUUCAAUGAAGGCAGCAUUAAAAACUAUCCUCCCACAUACUCUGCAUAAGUUGUGUCGGUGGCAUAUCAUGAAGAAGUACAAAGACCACCUCGCCUUGCUGUAUAAGGCGCACGAGAAACUCAAGGAUUAUCUCAAUGCGGUGCUCAACCACCUACUAAUGCCGUCAUAAUUUGAACAAGCAUGGAAGGACCUCAUUUAGAGAUACAACUUGCAAGACGAUGAAGUGAUGAAUUCACUGUGGGAAGACAGGCACGAGUGGAAGGAAGUUUUCUGUGCUCGGAUGACUUCCAUGCAGAGAAGCGAGAGCCUGAACCGCAUACUGAAGCAAAAGUUUGUCAAAGAGAAGCAUGAUCUCCAUCUGUUUGCUCAGCAGGUGGACAAGUGCAUUCAGACCAGGAAGGCCGUCGAGCACGCAGAGACAGUAGCAAAUGAGUCAGAGGUAAAGACAACAACCCAGUUUGGGUUCGAAGUUCAGCUAUCAAAAGUGUAUACAAGGGCAGUGUUUGCAGAUUUCAAAGAAACACUCUACCAUAACACUGCAUUCAGAGCAGAACAGUGCCCUGAGAACCUAACAAAGUAUCUCGUACACCACUACAACAGAUUGGAUGCAUUUGACUGGGCAAGGCAUAAUUUCCAUGUGGUCGCCGAUGAACAGAAAGGUGUCCACGAAUGUGAAUGCAAACUCUGGACACACACAGGUGAGACUCCUAUCACAAAAAAUUCUAGUUUCUGA